rnacentral:ribozyme from 1 species
ACGAUAUACAUACGUAAAUAAAAAGAAAUGGUGAAAACUGCGCAAAGCAAGGGAAAGAAGUGAGAAUGGAAUGAAAGGUUGAACUGAAAGAAGGGAGGGAAAUAAGCAAGUUUCCUCCUUCCUCCCCUUUUCUGUGCUCACUGCUUCCCUUCUUUCCUUUU